AACGAACGCUGGCGGCAUGCCUAACACAUGCAAGUCGAACGAGACCUUCGGGUCUAGUGGCGCACGGGUGCGUAACGCGUGGGAACCUGCCCUUAGGUUCGGAAUAACUCCCCGAAAGGGGUGCUAAUACCGGAUAAUGUCUUCGGACCAAAGAUUUAUCGCCUUUGGAUGGGCCCGCGUUGGAUUAGCUAGUUGGUAGGGUAAAAGCCUACCAAGGCGACGAUCCAUAGCUGGUCUGAGAGGAUGAUCAGCCACACUGGGACUGAGACACGGCCCAGACUCCAGGGGGAGGCAGGGGGGGAGAAUACGGAAACAGGGGCAGAAGCCUGAUCCAGCAGUGCCGCGUGAGGGAUGAGGGCAUUAGGGUUGUCACGCUUUUUAACGGGGGAUGAUGAUGACAGUAGCGGGAGAAUAAGCUCCGACGAACUCGGGGCCAGCGGCCGGGAUAAUAGGCGGAAGAGCAAAUAUCUGCCC
rnacentral:rRNA from 1 species